rnacentral:lncRNA from 1 species
GGGAUGGCACUCAGCCCUCAUAUGUGGGAGGCAAGCACUCUACCACUGAACUGUACUCCCAGCCUUCAAGUCUUAUUUGUUGAAUAUUCUUCACACACUCAUCAUCAGUUCAUCUAGACCUGAGAUAAGAUAUUCUUGUUGCUUUUGGAAAGGGCAUAACAACACCCUUCCUCCCAUUUCUGGUACAGAUGAAGGGUAUCCUAGACUCCUAAUGAAUAAUGCUUAGUACUUUGUGUUUUUCUGAGUAAAACCUGUGUGUUUGAGUAUCUGAUCAUCCAAUUUCUCAUUCACUGGAGGAAGACAGUGUACACAUAGCUAGGAAGAUUGCAAGUUCGAAGCCAGCCCCAGCAAUUUAGCAAGACCCUGUCUCAAAAUAAUAAACAAACAAGGAAGGACUGGGAAAGUAACUCAGUGGUUGAGGGCUCCUGGGAUCCCUAGUACCCGCUCCCCGGCACCUCCCCUCAAAAAUUGUACACAGAGCUUAACUAAAUAGCCAUGUUAAGAGGACUACUGUUUUCAAAUAGUUGUGAUUGGAUCUAUCUUGGAGCCUACUGGCCUGCUCUCUGUUUUGAUAAGGAAUGAGUUAAAGAAACCUCUUUGAACCUGACGUAUUUAUUCACACCCCACUGACUAGAAGGCGUGUUGCUACACCCUGUUUUACUCUUGACAAACUACUCCAGGCCUGUUUAACUGGUGAAGGUUGUUUUAAUUUGGUGCCGAAGAGCCUGAACCUGGUCUCUGUAGAGAGCCUGGAGUUGAUGUUGCCAUAUGCAAAGGCUAUGUUGUCCAUUUAGAAUUACUUAUGUGGAAUGGGCUCUGUCUUCUAUUUCCUGCCUAUUCUUAAGUUGUUAUCCUUAUCUGAGGACUGGGCAAAACAUAGGCUGUAUAGUUUGAGGAGGGGAUUAUUUUACUUUGUAGUUAGUUUUGAAAUCUGGGACAUUGUGGAUGUUGCCUUUCUGAUGGGUCAAGAUGGCAGACAGGGUGAAGAGGAAGCCUGCAGGAAGGUAUUACUCUUUCUCUGGUGUCUCUAGGAAGGACUCCGUGAAGGCAUUGAGGUUUUCAAGGUCCUUGAAUCUCAAAAGAGCCACUUCAGAAAUCAGCAAAAGGCAGGUUGGUACAGAAAUUUCUGACCACUUUACAUUUCCUUUAAAGUUCAAUGUAAUACUGUUCUUCAUAUUUAUUAUAUAAUACUCUUUUGAAAAAGUUUCUUGAUUAAUUUGCACAUGUUA